AGAGUUUGAUCAUGGCUCAGAACGAACGCUGGCGGCGUGCUUAACACAUGCAAGUCGAACGUGAUUCAGAGCUUGCUCUGAUGAAAGUGGCGCACGGGUGAGUAACGCGUGGAUAACCUGCCCUGGUAUCUGGGAUAACAUCUCGAAAGGGGUGCUAAUACCGGAUAAGCCUCCGGGAUCUUCGGAUUCUGCAGGAAAAGAAGGCCUCUAUUUAUAAGCUUUCGUAUCAGGAUGGGUCCGCGUACCAUUAGCUAGUUGGUGGGGUAAUGGCCUACCAAGGCGACGAUGGUUAGCUGGUCUGAGAGGAUGAUCAGCCACACUGGAACUGAGACACGGUCCAGACUCCUACGGGAGGCAGCAGUGGGGAAUUUUGCGCAAUGGGGGAAACCCUGACGCAGCAACGCCGCGUGAGUGAUGAAGGCUUUUGGGUCCUAAAGCUCUGUCAGAGGGGAAGAAAUGAGACUGGCUAAUAUCCAGUUUUCUUGACGGUACCCUCAAAGGAAGCACCGGCUAACUUCCGUGCCAGCCGCCGCGGUAAUUC
rnacentral:rRNA from 1 species